rnacentral:rRNA from 1 species
AGUGAACGCUGGCGGUAGGCCUAACACAUGCAAGUCGAACGGCAGCACAGUAAGAGCUUGCUCUUACGGGUGGCGAGUCGCGGACGGGUGAGGAAUACAUCGGAAUCUACUUUUUCGUGGGGGAUAACGUAGGGAAACUUACGCUAAUACCGCAUCCGACCUACGGGUGAAAGCAGGGGAUCUUCGGACCUUGCGCGAUUGAAUGAGCCGAUGUCGGAUUAGCUAGUUGGCGGGGUAAAGGCCCACCAAGGCGACGAUCCGUAGCUGGUCUGAGAGGAUGAUCAGCCACACUGGAACUGAGACACGGUCCAGACUCCUACGGGAGGCAGCAGUGGGGAAUAUUGGACAAUGGGCGCAAGCCUGAUCCAGCCAUACCGCGUGGGUGAAGAAGGCCUUCGGGUUGUAAAGCCCUUUUGUUGGGAAAGAAAAGCAGCAGGUUAAUACCCCGCUGUUCUGACGGUACCCAAAGAAUAAGCACCGGCUAACUUCGUG